rnacentral:rRNA from 1 species
UACGUAGGGGGCAAGCGUUAUCCGGAAUUACUGGGUGUAAAGGGUGAGUAGGCGGCAUGGUAAGCCAGAUGUGAAAUACUCGGGCUCAACUUGAGUGCUGCAUUUCAAACUGGAAGUCUAGAGUGCAGGAGAGGAGAAUGGAAUUCCUAGUGUAGCGGUGAAAUGCGUAGAGAUUAGGAAGAACACCAGUGGCGAAGGCGAUUCUCUGGACUGUAACUGACGCUGAGGCUCGAAAGCGUGGGGAGCAAACAGG